CUCAGGACGAACGCUGGCGGCGUGCUUAACACAUGCAAGUCGAGCGAUGAAGCUCCUUCGGGAGUGGAUUAGCGGCGGACGGGUGAGUAACACGUGGGCAACCUACCUCAAGGAGUGGGAUAGCCUCUCGAAAGGGAGAUUAAUACCGCAUAAAAUUGUGAUACCGCAUGGUAUUGCAAUCAAAGAUUUAUUGCCUUGAGAUGGGCCCGCGGCGCAUUAGCUAGUUGGUAAGGUAAGAGCUUACCAAGGCGACGAUGCGUAGCCGACCUGAGAGGGUGAUCGGCCACAUUGGAACUGAGACACGGUCCAGACUCCUACGGGAGGCAGCAGUGGGGAAUAUUGCGCAAUGGGGGAAACCCUGACGCAGCAACGCCGCGUGAGUGAUGAAGGUCUUCGGAUCGUAAAGCUCUGUCAUAUGGGACGAUAAUGACGGUACCAUAGAAGGAAGCCACGGCUAACUACGUGCCAGCAGCCGCGGUAAUACGUAGGUGGCAAGCGUUGUCCGGAAUUAUUGGGCGUAAAGAGUGCGUAGGCGGAUAUGUAAGUCAGAUGUGAAAGCCCCAGGCUCAACCUGGGUACUGCAUUUGAAACUGCAUAUCUAGAGUGCAGGAGAGGAAAGUGGAAUUCCUAGUGUAGAGGUGAAAUUCGUAGAGAUUAGGAAGAACACCAGUGGCGAAGGCGACUUUCUGGACUGUAACUGACGCUGAGGCACGAAAGCGUGGGGAGCGAACAGGAUUAGAUACCCUGGUAGUCCACGCCGUAAACGAUGGAUACUAGGUGUCGGGGGCGACCAGCCUUCGGUGCCGCAGCAAACGCAUUAAGUAUCCCGCCUGGGGAGUACGGUCGCAAGAUUAAAACUCAAAGGAAUUGACGGGGACCCGCACAAGCAGCGGAGCAUGUGGUUUAAUUCGAAGCAACGCGAAGAACCUUACCUAGACUUGACAUCCUGUGAAUCCUGUAGAGAUACGGGAGUGCCUUCGGGAACACAGAGACAGGUGGUGCAUGGUUGUCGUCAGCUCGUGUCGUGAGAUGUUGGGUUAAGUCCCGCAACGAGCGCAACCCCUAUUGUUAGUUGCUACCAUUAAGAUGAGCACUCUAGCAAGACUGCCUGGGUUAACCAGGAGGAAGGUGGGGAUGACGUCAAAUCAUCAUGCCCCUUAUGUCUAGGGCUACACACGUGCUACAAUGGUCGGUACAGAGAGCAGCAAAACCGUGAGGUGGAGCAAAUCUCAAAAGCCGACCCCAGUUCGGAUUGCAGGCUGCAACUCGCCUGCAUGAAGUUGGAGUUGCUAGUAAUCGCGAAUCAGAAUCUCGCGGUGAAUGCGUUCCCGGGUCUUGUACACACCGCCCGUCACACCAUGAGAGCUGGUACACCCGAAGUCCGUGAGGUAACCGAAAGGAGCCAGCGGCCGAAGGUGGGAUUAGUGACUUGGGGUGAAGUCGU
rnacentral:rRNA from 1 species